AAUUUUAAAAGUCUCAUUUAAGUAUUUCUUUUGGUUUUCCUUGUAUAAAUAUAGCUAACUUUUAAACAUUUCUUUUCCGGCUUGUGUUGUUUGCUUUGGACCCUUCAGCACCUAUUUUUAAACGUUAAGCAUUCCCCAGUCAGCAUGAAAGUUUUACUGUUAGUUUUAUUUUGUUCCUAUAAUUUUGAUUCCCCCCAGAAACUGCCACAGAUGAAAUCAAGCCAAUAGAAUUGAAAGCAAAGAUCACCUGGUGGCCAUGAAGCCGACCAUCCUUAGGCAGAAACUCCUUACCUGAGGAAUUUAGAGAUUACAAUGAUUCCACCUACAGAUGAUUAUGUAAUCCCAAUACCAGCCUGCAACAGCAACUUCCACAUAUAUGGGGCCUCUUGAUGGAAUCCGGUGUCUCCUGUCCCCACGCCAUCUGCAAUCAAUUGUGACUGCACUGACCUGCAUAAAAUUCACACGUGUGGACUGGAUCAAAAGACUCAUCUACAAAAAAGGAGAACAGAAGUGACAGUAUGUAACUUUGGAUAGUAGGCUGUUGGAUGACAACUCUCCAUGGGUCUCUUGAGUUUGUGAAGUUUUGCAAGAGUCACUGCCUACCCUUUGUUCUAAAUUACAAGGAUUAUACAGUGAACAACCUUGAAAGAUAAAGAUAGUUUCUUCUUCUGGAGCAAAGGGCAGGUUUGCUCACAGUCUUAGAUGAUGGAGACAGUACCUCCCUGCAAAGCAAAGGGCAGGCAUGCCUGUUACUCAUAAAAUAUUUGGGUUUC
rnacentral:lncRNA from 1 species